CCCUUAGAUGUUCUGGGCCGCACGCGCGCUACACUGAUGCAUUCAACAAGCCUAGCCUUGACCGAGAGGUCCGGGUAAUCUUUGAAACUGCACCGUGAUGGGGCUAGAUUAUUGCAAUUAUUAAUCUUCAACGAGGAAUGCCUAGUAAGCGUGAUUCAUCAAAUCGCGUUGAUUACGUCCCUGCCCUUUGUACACACCGCCCGUCGCUCCUACCGAUUGAAUGUGUUGGUGAGGAGCUCGGAUUGGCAGCAGUUGGUGGUUCGCCACCGGCUAUUGCUGAGAAGUCCUCCAAACCGCCCCAUUUAGAGGAAGGAGAAGUCGUAACA
rnacentral:rRNA from 1 species